AUACGGAAGGUCCGGGCGUUAUCCGGCUUUAUUGGGUUUAAAGGGAGCGCAGGCGGAGAUGCAAGCGUGACGUCACAUUUCGGGGCUCCACCCCGUCUCGCGUCGCGAACUGCGUCCCUUGGUUGCGGGAAGGGGAGGCGGAACUCGUGGUGUCGCGGUGAAAUGCAUAGAUAUCACGAGGAACUCCGAUUGCGCAGGCAGCUUACUAAACUACUACUGACGCUCAGGCACGAAGGCGUGGGGAUCAAACAGGAUUAGAUACCCUGGUAGUCCACGCAGUAAACGAUGAUUACUAGCUGUUUGCGAUACAAUGUAAGCGGCUGAGCGAAAGCGUUAAGUAAUCCACCUGGGGAGUACGUUCGCAAGAAUGAAACUCAAAGGAAUUGACGGGG
rnacentral:rRNA from 1 species